rnacentral:piRNA from 1 species
UCUCGCCGGAUAUUCUCAGUGGGUCGCGU